rnacentral:rRNA from 1 species
GGGUUGUGAGGUUAAGCGACUAAGCGUACACGGUGGAUGCCCUGGCAGUCAGAGGCGAUGAAGGACGUGCUAAUCUGCGAUAAGCGUCGGUGAGGUGAUAUGAACCGUUAUAACCGGCGAUUUCCGAAUGGGGAAACCCAGUGUGUUUCGACACACUAUCAUUAACUGAAUCCAUAGGUUAAUGAGGCGAACCGGGGGAACUGAAACAUCUAAGUACCCCGAGGAAAAGAAAUCAACCGAGAUUCCCCCAGUAGCGGCGAGCGAACGGGGAGGAGCCCAGAGCCUGAAUCAGUGUGUGUGUUAGUGGAAGCGUCUGGAAAGGCGCGCGAUACAGGGUGACAGCCCCGUACACAAAAAUGCACAUAUUGUGAGCUCGAUGAGUAGGGCGGGACACGUGGUAUCCUGUCUGAAUAUGGGGGGACCAUCCUCCAAGGCUAAAUACUCCUGACUGACCGAUAGUGAACCAGUACCGUGAGGGAAAGGCGAAAAGAACCCCGGCGAGGGGAGUGAAAAAGAACCUGAAACCGUGUACGUACAAGCAGUGGGAGCCUCUUUAUGGGGUGACUGCGUACCUUUUGUAUAAUGGGUCAGCGACUUAUAUUCUGUAGCAAGGUUAACCGAAUAGGGGAGCCGAAGGGAAACCGAGUCUUAACUGGGCGUUAAGUUGCAGGGUAUAGACCCGAAACCCGGUGAUCUAGCCAUGGGCAGGUUGAAGGUUGGGUAACACUAACUGGAGGACCGAACCGACUAAUGUUGAAAAAUUAGCGGAUGACUUGUGGCUGGGGGUGAAAGGCCAAUCAAACCGGGAGAUAGCUGGUUCUCCCCGAAAGCUAUUUAGGUAGCGCCUCGUGAAUUCAUCUCCGGGGGUAGAGCACUGUUUCGGCAAGGGGGUCAUCCCGACUUACCAACCCGAUGCAAACUGCGAAUACCGGAGAAUGUUAUCACGGGAGACACACGGCGGGUGCUAACGUCCGUCGUGAAGAGGGAAACAACCCAGACCGCCAGCUAAGGUCCCAAAGUCAUGGUUAAGUGGGAAACGAUGUGGGAAGGCCCAGACAGCCAGGAUGUUGGCUUAGAAGCAGCCAUCAUUUAAAGAAAGCGUAAUAGCUCACUGGUCGAGUCGGCCUGCGCGGAAGAUGUAACGGGGCUAAACCAUGCACCGAAGCUGCGGCAGCGACACUAUGUGUUGUUGGGUAGGGGAGCGUUCUGUAAGCCUGUGAAGGUGGCCUGUGAGGGUUGCUGGAGGUAUCAGAAGUGCGAAUGCUGACAUAAGUAACGAUAAAGCGGGUGAAAAGCCCGCUCGCCGGAAGACCAAGGGUUCCUGUCCAACGUUAAUCGGGGCAGGGUGAGUCGACCCCUAAGGCGAGGCCGAAAGGCGUAGUCGAUGGGAAACAGGUUAAUAUUCCUGUACUUGGUGUUACUGCGAAGGGGGGACGGAGAAGGCUAUGUUGGCCGGGCGACGGUUGUCCCGGUUUAAGCGUGUAGGCUGGUUUUCCAGGCAAAUCCGGAAAACCAAGGCUGAGGCGUGAUGACGAGGCACUACGGUGCUGAAGCGACAAAUGCCCUGCUUCCAGGAAAAGCCUCUAAGCAUCAGGUAACAUCAAAUCGUACCCCAAACCGACACAGGUGGUCAGGUAGAGAAUACCAAGGCGCUUGAGAGAACUCGGGUGAAGGAACUAGGCAAAAUGGUGCCGUAACUUCGGGAGAAGGCACGCUGAUAUGUAGGUGAAGCGACUUGCUCGUGGAGCUGAAAUCAGUCGAAGAUACCAGCUGGCUGCAACUGUUUAUUAAAAACACAGCACUGUGCAAACACGAAAGUGGACGUAUACGGUGUGACGCCUGCCCGGUGCCGGAAGGUUAAUUGAUGGGGUUAGCGGUAACGCGAAGCUCUUGAUCGAAGCCCCGGUAAACGGCGGCCGUAACUAUAACGGUCCUAAGGUAGCGAAAUUCCUUGUCGGGUAAGUUCCGACCUGCACGAAUGGCGUAAUGAUGGCCAGGCUGUCUCCACCCGAGACUCAGUGAAAUUGAACUCGCUGUGAAGAUGCAGUGUACCCGCGGCAAGACGGAAAGACCCCGUGAACCUUUACUAUAGCUUGACACUGAACAUUGAGCCUUGAUGUGUAGGAUAGGUGGGAGGCUUUGAAGUGUGGACGCCAGUCUGCAUGGAGCCGACCUUGAAAUACCACCCUUUAAUGUUUGAUGUUCUAACGUUGGCCCGUAAUCCGGGUUGCGGACAGUGUCUGGUGGGUAGUUUGACUGGGGCGGUCUCCUCCUAAAGAGUAACGGAGGAGCACGAAGGUUGGCUAAUCCUGGUCGGACAUCAGGAGGUUAGUGCAAUGGCAUAAGCCAGCUUGACUGCGAGCGUGACGGCGCGAGCAGGUGCGAAAGCAGGUCAUAGUGAUCCGGUGGUUCUGAAUGGAAGGGCCAUCGCUCAACGGAUAAAAGGUACUCCGGGGAUAACAGGCUGAUACCGCCCAAGAGUUCAUAUCGACGGCGGUGUUUGGCACCUCGAUGUCGGCUCAUCACAUCCUGGGGCUGAAGUAGGUCCCAAGGGUAUGGCUGUUCGCCAUUUAAAGUGGUACGCGAGCUGGGUUUAGAACGUCGUGAGACAGUUCGGUCCCUAUCUGCCGUGGGCGCUGGAGAACUGAGGGGGGCUGCUCCUAGUACGAGAGGACCGGAGUGGACGCAUCACUGGUGUUCGGGUUGUCAUGCCAAUGGCACUGCCCGGUAGCUAAAUGCGGAAGAGAUAAGUGCUGAAAGCAUCUAAGCACGAAACUUGCCCCGAGAUGAGUUCUCCCUGACUCCUUGAGAGUCCUGAAGGAACGUUGAAGACGACGACGUUGAUAGGCCGGGUGUGUAAGCGCAGCGAUGCGUUGAGCUAACCGGUACUAAUGAACCGUGAGGCUUAACCUUACAAC